UCCUGACCUCAAAGGAUCCACCCACCUUGGCCUCCCAAAGUGCUGGGAUUACAGGCGUGAGUCACCGUGCCAGGCCAUGAUGUCACAGGUUCCUAUACAAAUAAAAACAGGAUAUAUGAAUUAUGGUACCAUGGGAGCUGUUCUGAUGGGAUCAAAUUAUUGGCAAAAAGCAUUAAAAAUAAAGCUGAAGUUAUCUGGAAA